rnacentral:rRNA from 1 species
GACGAACGCUGGCGGCGUGCUUAACACAUGCAAGUCGAACGGUAAGGCCCUUCGGGGUACACGAGUGGCGAACGGGGGAGUAACACGUGGGUGAUCUGCCCUGCACUUCGGGAUAAGCCUGGGAAACUGGUCUAAUACCGGAUAGGACCACUGCCUGCAUGGGUGGUGGUGGAAAGCUUGUGCGGGUUGGGAUGGGCCCGCGGCCUAUCAGCUUGUUGGUGGGGUGAUGGCCUACCAAGGCGACGACGGGUAGCCGGCCUGGGAGGGUGACCGGCCACACUGGGACUGAGAUACGGCCCAGACUCCUACGGGGGGCAGCAGUGGGGAAUAUUGCACAAUGGGGGCAAGCCGGAUGCGGCGGCGCCGCGUGAGGAAUGACGGCCUUCGGGUUGUAAACCUCUUUCAGCAUCGACGAAGCGAAAGUGACGGUAGGUGCAGAAGAAGGACCGGCCAACUACGUGCCAGCCGCCGCCGUAA